CACGUAGUUAGCCGGGGCUUCUUAGUCAGGUACCGUCUUUUUCUUCCCUGCUGAUAGAGCUUUACAUACCGAAAUACUUCUUCACUCACGCGGCGUCGCUGCAUCAGGGUUUCCCCCAUUGUGCAAUAUUCCCCACUGCUGCCUCCCGUAGGAGUUUGGGCCGUGUCUCAGUCCCAAUGUGGCCGUUCACCCUCUCAGGCCGGCUACUGAUCGUCGCCUUGGUAGGCCGUUACCCCACCAACCAGCUAAUCAGACGCGGGCUCAUCUUAUACUACCGGAGUUUUUCACACAGAAACAUGCGUUCCCGUGCGCUUAUGCGGUAUUAGCAGUCAUUUCUAACUGUUAUCCCCCUGUAUAAGGCAGAUUACCCACGUGUUACUCACCCGUCCGCCGCUAAGUCAAUUUCGAUUCCAUCCGAAAACUUCCUCAAAAUCGCUUCGCUCGACUUGCAUGUGUUAGGCACGCCGCCAGCGUUCAUCCUGAGCCAGGAUCAAACUCU
rnacentral:rRNA from 1 species